ACUCAAAUGUGGGGCACACUUC
rnacentral:miRNA from 1 species